UGCUUCUUACAAAUUUUGGGAAUAAAAAGGUAUCUUGAAAUAGGAGGCAGAGUAAACUUGCCCCAUAUACACCUCAGCUCAGGCUCUCUGCCUGGUUUGUAUUGUGAAUGGGGAGACAUUG
ensembl:snoRNA